UGGGGAAUAUUGCACAAUGGGCGCAAGCCUGAUGCAGCCAUGCCGCGUGUAUGAAGAAGGCCUUCGGGUUGUAAAGUACUUUCAGCGGGGAGGAAGGCGAUAAGGUUAAUAACCUUGUCGAUUGACGUUACCCGCAGAAGAAGCACCGGCUAACUACGUGCCAGCAGCCGCGGUAAUACGUAGGGUGCAAGCGUUAAUCGGAAUUACUGGGCGUAAAGCGCACGCAGGCGGUUUGUUAAGUCAGAUGUGAAAUCCCCAGGGCUCAACCUGGGAACUGCAUUUGAAACUGGCAAGCUUGAGUCUUGUAGAGGGGGUUAGAAUUCCAGGUGUAGCGGUGAAAUGCGUAGAGAUCUGGAGGAAUACCGGUGGCGAAGGCGGCCCCCUGGACAAAGACUGACGCUCAGGUGCGAAAGCGU
rnacentral:rRNA from 1 species